rnacentral:misc_RNA from 1 species
UUUCCGUUGGUGAACCAGCGGAGGGAUCAUUACCGAGUGCAAACUCAUAACCCUUUGUGAACCUAUAUGUGUUGCUUCGGCGGCUCGCUCUCGGGCGGGCCCGCCGGUAAUAUCAGUAUCUCUGUUUGAACCCGACGAUACUUCUGAGUGUUCUUAGCGAACAGUUAAAACUUUUAACAACGGAUCUCUUGGCUCUA